rnacentral:rRNA from 1 species
CAGCCGCCGCGGUAAUACGUAGGGGGCAAGCGUUAUCCGGAAUAACUGGGCGUAAAGGGUGCGCAGGUGGUUUAACAAGUUAGUGGUGAAAGGCAUAGGCUCAACCAAUGUAAGCCAUUAAAACUGUUUAACUUGAGUGCAGGAGAGGAAAGUGGAAUUCCUAGUGUAGCGGUGAAAUGCGUAGAUAUUAGGAGGAAUACCAGUGGCGAAGGCGACUUUCUGGACUGCAACUGACACUGAGGCACGAAAGCGUGGGGAGCAAACAGGAUUAGAUACCCCGGUAGUCCCUGUCUCUUAUACA